AACAAGGAUUCCCCUAGUAACUGCGAGUGAAGCGGGAAGAGCUCAAAUUUUGAAUCUGGCGGUCCUCGUGGCCGUCCGAGUUGUAAUCUAGAGAAGCGUUUUCUGUGCUGGACCGUGUACAAGUCUCCUGGAAGGGAGCUGUCGUAGAGGGUGAGAAUCCCGUCUUUGACACGGACUACCAGGGCUAUGUGAUGCGCUCUCGACGAGUCGAGUUGUUUGGGAAUGCAGCUCAAAUUGGGUGGUAAAUUCCAUCUAAAGCUAAAUACAGGCGAGAGACCGAUAGCGAACAAGUACCGUGAGGGAAAGAUGAAAAGGACUCUGGAAAGAGAGUUAAACAGUACGUGAAAUUGCUGAAAGGGAAACGCUUGAUGUCAGUCGUGUCGAUCGGGGAUCAACCUUGCUUCAUUGCUGGGUGUACUUCCUGAUCGAUGGGUCAGCAUCAAUUUCGGUCGUCGUACAAGGUCGGAGGAAAUGUGGCACUCUUCGGAGUGUGUUAUAGUCCUUCGUCGGCAUGCGAUGACUGGGAUUGAGGAACUCAGCAUGACCCCUCGAGGGUUCGGGGCUUCGGCCUACGUCUCGUGCUCAGGAUGCUGGCAUAAUGGCCUUAAGCGACCCGUCUUGAAACACGGACCAAGGAGUCUAACAUGCCUGCGAGUGUUUGGGUGGAAAACCCGAGCGCGUAAUGAAAGUGAAAGUCGAGACCUCUGUCGUGGAGGGCAUCGACGCCCGGACUUGAGCCUUUGGCGACGGAUCUGCGGUAGAGCAUGUAUGUUGGGACCCGAAAGAUGGUGAACUAUGCCUGAAUAGGGUGAAGCCAGAGGAAACUCUGGUGGAGGCUCGUAGCGAUUCUGACGUGCAAAUCGAUCGUCGAAUUUGGG
rnacentral:rRNA from 1 species